ensembl:lncRNA
UCUGCUCAGGGAACAAGCCCAUGACAAUGAGGUAUCAGAACUUUCAUUCAAUCCACCUCUGUGCAUUUUCAUUUGGCAUCUUGGAGGUGAGUUGCUGUUACUCAGAGGAAACUUGCAGUUCCAAAGCCUGAACCUGAUAGCUCGCUUUGUGGAGUUACACAGUCAGGUUCCUGGUUCAUCAGAUAUGGCUGACGUCAUUUUCCUAUUGAUCUGGUAAGCAAGAAUUUUCAGUCUGCUGUUUUCAGGGUACGGAACGUUCAGGACAUCAGCAAGGAAUGCUUCUUUCUGGAGCACAAAAGCAACGCAGCCUCCCUUCCUAGGACCACUGGAGCAGCCUCCCACUGAUCGCCCCAGAUUCAUGGGGAGCUGCUGUGUUUUGUUCUUGUCAACGGAGGCUGUUUUGGCCUCUAAGAAGAGAGUGGGUGUUUGACUGCAGGGCGGAAAUGAGAAACAAAGAGCAAGGUUCACCCCUCCCCAGUGCUGUCCCCUCCCAGUGUCUUUGAAGCUGUUCACUUAUUAGAAAUGGUUUUCUUUGGAGUCCUGUGUUGUCAGAGAGAACUAAAACAGUCGUUUGCUGCUCACCAUUCUUCCGCCUUGCUCCCAACGUUGGUCUGUGCCAAACAUGGAGCAGAUGAACGGGGCAGAGGUUACAUGGAGAGUAUUUGCCUGCUCCUUGAGAUAUAAUCCUCCAGCUCUUCUAAUGUACGCUGACUUCUGGGCCAGUCCUGUGAAGAGACGAACAUCAGAGAGCACUAUGGUGGUCUAGAGUAAGGGAGGUGCCCUGGUGUAGAGUCUGGUAUGAGCCUGAAACAAAGCAUGUAAAAUCCUUUCAGCACUUUGAGCUUAAUGUGAAGGUAUUAAGGGUGAAACUGAUGGCAUUAAAAUGCUUUCUGCUUUCUUAGUUACAGAGCAGGCUGUUUGCAGCAAAGAUUAUAGACCAUGGAAAAUUGAUUUGGGAGCACUGAUGUCGAAUCACACUGCGUUACUCCAUUGAAAUCAUCAUAGGAUCAUUAGAACUGAGUACUGUAUGUGUUUCCAGUGCCACACAGAAC